CGAAAAAAGCGUGCGUGCGUGCUGUAAACAUGACCUGCAAACUAGCGAAAAUUGUUCUGUGAUUUUUGCUUACGCCAAAAUGUUAAUGCUUCAGAUUUCGUGAGGAAUGAUCAACCGUUCUAUAGCGAGUCGUGCGAGUAAGUUAGCGGCGCCCUGUGAUGCGGCGAUAAGAGUUGCUCGAAUCGGUGAUAACCCAUUCGAUAACCCACGCGGCUGUACAACAUCCAGCUCUUGCUCGGCUGACAGACUCAUGGGUCCUGCCAAAUCCCAACGGCGAUGCAGUUCCGGCAGCGAGCGGCCUGGGUUGUGCUCUUCCUCUACCUCGGCUGCGGCUUCCUCUGCCUGACACCCCUGUUCCGACUGACAAACCGCGACACUUUGUUGCGCAUUCGAGGGCCCAACAGAGCUCCAGCAGCUGCAUUCAUCGUGAACAAUGUUCCGGGCGUGGUGCUCGUCGCCGUGGCAAUCCUCCUUUACGUUCAGGGAUUCGCGUUGUUGCUGGCGUGUACGAGGACGGACUUCAAGUCGCGCGUAGUGAGGAGCAUGUUCCCGUUUCUGCUGUGCGCUGUGUGUGCAAUGCUUUGGAAGAAACCGGAAAGAAGUGACGACUGCAAGAAGUUGGACGUCGUUGGGGAGCCACUUGUACUCUUAGUGUGAAGCCCCGAUCACAUGGUGCACUCUAGAUUGCUAUUGAGCCCAGUCGGGAUAGAAUUUAUCGCGAUUGGCUGCCUUCUGAAGCUCCUUCAAAGGAGCCAAUCACGAUACAGAAAUUCACUUGUGAUCGAAUGUGCCCGUGUGAUAGCGGUACAAGGUGCGUCUGUGUAAUAUGAACCGAGGUAUGCUGUUCUUGGCCCUUGUUGAAUUCCGCCAUGUGUUUUCUCGUUCGAGCCAAUAGCUUAAUUGCCCGUUCUGAGCCUAUCAAGUGGAAGAAGCACAGGGAAUUCAGGAACAGCAAAAUAUGCGCUAUGGCACCUAGGAUCUAUACAGAAAAGUGCUGGAACAUGGAAAAAGUGCUCGACAUGCAUACAUUUUGCUGGAUGGAAAGAUUCAAUCUUUCCAUCUGACGGUCAGAUUUGCAUUUCUGGAGCCAUAGGACAAAGUGAAAACUGCUUAAGAGACAGCAUUUAGAGAAAGUUUGAAGGCCACCAUAACAAGCUCACUUGUACAGAGUGCUGUAUUCCAAGAACACUAACGUGCCUCAUUUUAGUUAUUUCUGUGUGCCUUUAGCAGUGCAAUACAUGUUCUUGUGUCCUGUCCUAGAAUGAGAGUCAUAUGGUGAGAGGUUCAGAAAGCCAUGACAGGAACAAGUCACAUGAAUCCAUGAGAAUAGUUUUAUUCUCUCCAAAUGCUCAGUUUUAUUUUUAUUCUCAAUUGUGCUUCACUAAUGCCAAAGGAGUCCUGUUCUUGCGUUGUUCAGAGUGUGGUGAACAGAACGUCAGUUAUGUGCAGUCAGGACAGAUGAGAUGGCUUCUCCGAAAUGUUACUCAACAUGUACAAACAGAUAUAGCGCAGCUACAGUAUUGCACACAGAAGAUAUGUUUUCAUUUCGCACGUUUCUUCAGCAGAAAUAUUAUUAUAAACCAAAUUUCAUGUUUGCUCGAGAGAACGUAAACACUUCUGUUCACUACUUAACGUAAGCUAGUCCAAGGUGCUGUCAGUUUGCACACCUCAAAGGGAGCCUGGAACACUUUCCUAACUAAUCAUAUAAUGGCCUCACUACAAAAGGAUGUUGUCUCACGAAACUCGUACUGACAACAUUUUUUUAAUCCUUCAAGUGGAGUUAGAGGUGGUUAUCGCACCGACGAGUGCCUUUCUCUUUCGUCUCCACUAGCAUGCUGGAAGCUACACGGGGAGAAGCUAAGGAGUCAAUGCUCUGCCCAAAAGUUGAGUCUCUUGACGAUGAGAGGGCUCGUUGCAGCCCCUCAUGGUGGCUGCGCUAGACUACACUUCGCAGCACGCCGCUGCUAUUUCAGAGGCCACAUACAGCAGACGCAGCUACACACAACUGUCAUGUGCAGACUGGUAGUGCAAAGAUGGAAUGAUUUUUUUGUAUUUCUGACACUGCGGAUACACAUAUAUAUUUUGAGUUAUUUAACUAAAAAUGAACAAUGAUAGUAUUACUUGAAAUGUUCUCGCGAUCACAAAAUCGUCCAAUAGCUGUUGGUGGGCAUCACUGCUCACAGUGACACUGCGCGACAACAUUGCGGAGGCGAGAGCAGGCGAUCUUACGCCGUUUUUGGCAAGAGAUUGUAAAUUCCCUGCUGCAUGAAGUGCAAUGAUAAUUGGUUCACAUGUUCACAGGAACCUCUUCUACAAAUUGGCAUUGUUUUCUUAGUAUGUUCAACAAGUGUUUAGGCGCCGCUUCAAGGCAACUGUAUGUCACCAUGACAACUCAACUGCUAAUACUACUAGUGCGCAUAUAUAUUAGUUUAAAUCCAUGAAAAAAGUUGCCUUUCCAAUGGUGCAGCUGGGGGCAUUCAGGAAAGUAGAAAAGCUCCGCAAUGUGUAUUAAACUGGCUUUACAGCAACGUGCCUUGCAUUACAGACAAAGGCAUUGCGUCAUUGUCUGUAGCCCACACUUUUCGCUUUCCGAAAUUUACUGAAGCUUAGUUAAAUGCACGAAAGUGUGAUAUACUGAGCUAAGCUGAUUGACUUGCACUGUGCAUAUCUGACUUUUGUUUUGUCAAUGUUACGACUUCUUUUGCAGUUAGCACGAUUUUCUAACCUCCGUCUCUAAAACAUGCACACAAAAAAUACUUUGCAUAUCAGUCCUAUUCACUCUCACUCAUGUAAACUGCCAUGUAUGGAAGGAAAAUGUACCAUCACCUUGCAGAGCACUUUUUCUUCAAUCGCAGCUCUGUUUAAAAUGCCCCUUAACAGGAAGCUUUAGCGUUGGGCCCAACUCCGAUGGCACCUAUUCAAAUACAUGUAAAACGCGGAAAUGCUUUUCUAAGAUAAUUGCUUGGCCGAUUUUAAGGAAACUUGUUGCAUUUGAGAGGGAAAGUUAAAUUGUAGUGGCUGUUGGAAGCAGAAUUUUGAUUUUUGGCCUUUUGUUUUUUGCAAAAUUUGCCAAGAAUCGGUAAACUUGAAAAAAAAAUAUAGAAGCACGGAGUUUGCAAACCUGUAACUCUGUACCAAGAAAAGAUGCUGCAGUUCUGUAAGCAGCAUCCGUUAUAUAAAGCGGACAAAUUGAGUAUAUUCAUUUACAGCUUACAUGGAUUUGUUAAAAUGCUUACAAGAGUUCUGCAAAAGUCCUAUUCAUCAAUACUGAUUAUAUUUCACAGAUAUAUCAAUUUUUUUCCGCUUGAGAUCUAUUAUUGUGAUGACCUUAUUCAAUGUCAAACUACAGAGUUGUAAACUUGAUAGUUGUGUUUUUGAAAAUAUUGCAGAUUUCAACAAAUUUUAUUAAAAUAUUGACGGCUUAAAUAAAAAAUCAGCUUGCAACAGUCACUACAUUAUAACUUCUUUCUUUUGAAUGUAACAAGUCUCAUCAAAUUCAGUGCACCGGUUGCCAAGAAAAACGAUUUCUCCUUUCCUAUGUAUUGAGAUAGGAGGCCCCAAACUAAAACUUCCUCUUAAUAUUACCUUCGGACGACUUGAAGCAUUUCCUUCGGAUCAGCUCGGCACACGUAGUUAAAGUUACAUUAUUUCAUCACCAGCCUCCAUCUUUCACUUAAAAUAAUCACACCAAUCAUUACAGCCGAACUUGUGAUACUUUGCUUUUGUUGUCAAAAGACAAGAAGUCUUUGCAACAUCUCACUUGUUACCGUUUGCAAUUUGCAAGACAUCAGUCAUCAGCGAUUUUCCCUUUAUUGUCAUGAUCCAAGCAACAACAUGACUUCAGUGCUCUUUCUAUUUUUUUUUCUUGCCAUAGCUUUCAUACCUUCUCGUUCUAUAUGAAAAGCUGACUUGCCAUACCCUGAAAGGUCACCUAUUUUUUUACAAGGCUCGAUUCGUAGUAUUCCACACUGGGUCAAAGCAAAACUGCACGUUUUACAAACCACUACAGAAGUCGGUGUCACUCAAAUGCCAAAUACGUCUAUGCCUAACCCGUUUUGAUGUACAGUGAGACCUCGAGAUGACAAACCCGGAUAUAAUGGAGUAAAUACAAUAUGUUUCUCACUGAUAUCAACUUGUGAAGCAUACACGAUUAUAAUGAAUAUCAGAUUAUAGUGGAGUUAUUUUUACUUCUGAUAUUAGUUGUUAUAAUGAGGUCCAAAAGUACAGUCAUAUUGUAGUCCUGCAUUUAGUCACGUGGACUUGCAGAGUGUUUGUGAUAUUUGAUGCUUGUCAUUGCUGAAACCAAAUAAAGAACCUUGUCAUGUCUUGGAA